UACAGAGGUCUCAAGCGUUGUUCGGAUUCAUUGGGCGUAAAGGGUGCGUAGGCGGCGCGGUGAGUCGGGUGUGAAAUCUCGGAGCUUAACUCCGAAACUGCAUUCGAUACUGCCGUGCUUGAGGACUGGAGAGGAGACUGGAAUUUACGGUGUAGCGGUGAAAUGCGUAGAUAUCGUAAGGAAGACCAGUGGCGAAGGCGGGUCUCUGGACAGUUCCUGACGCUGAGGAGCGAAAGCGUGGGGAGCGAACAGG
rnacentral:rRNA from 1 species